rnacentral:rRNA from 1 species
GACGAACGCUGGCGGCGUGCUUAACACAUGCAAGUCGAACGGAAAGGCCCUUCGGGGUGCUCGAGUGGCGAACGGGUGAGUAACACGUGGGUGAUCUGCCCUGCACUUUGGGAUAAGCCUGGGAAACUGGGUCUAAUACCGGAUAGGACCACGGUCUGCAUGGAUUGUGGUGGAAAGCUUUUGCGGUGUGGGAUGGGCCCGCGGCCUAUCAGCUUGUUGGUGGGGUGAUGGCCUACCAAGGCGACGACGGGUAGCCGGCCUGAGAGGGUGUCCGGCCACACUGGGACUGAGAUACGGCCCAGACUCCUACGGGAGGCAGCAGUGGGGAAUAUUGCACAAUGGGCGCAAGCCUGAUGCAGCGACGCCGCGUGAGGGAUGACGGCCUUCGGGUUGUAAACCUCUUUCACCCACGACGAAGCGCAGGUGACGGUAGUGGGAGAAGAAGCACCGGCCAACUACGUGCCAGCCGCCGCCGUAAUAC